rnacentral:lncRNA from 1 species
AGCAGAGAGGGUGAUCAGGCGUCACUGUGACUGCUAUGAGGAGGAUAUGUAUGUACAGAAAGACAUCGGAGGGUUCAUACAGUGUUCCCUUAAGCCUGGCCUGGGACCCUAUGCUGAGUGCACAGAGAUCACUGACCUCAGGUCUGGGCUGGAGGAGGUGUUUCCUGAUGUGCGUUCUCUUUGUAUCCUUCACUCCUCCUCCUCCCUGCCUGCAGACUCCUUCUCUCACAUUCCCCUCCUGGAGCACCUCUAUUUGGAUGGCUCACACCUGGCAAAGGUGUGAGCGUGUGUGUGCGCGCACACGUGUAUAGCUGUUAUGCAUUGAUUCAGCCCAUAUUUUUAAUCCUAGAUGUGUGUGUAUCCCCUUUUUUCACAGGUGACCU